CACAAGAAGCCAGGUCAGAGAAGGCAGUUCCCUGCACUGCGGUUACCAGAUUACUGUGACAUGGCAUACGUAGGCCACAUGCAGCAGGAGCCUGUGGGAAACCUUUUCCGCCUGGCUUCAUGGCUUCUGGUCUCUUUGCUAAGAUCACCAUGAACACGAUCUGGAACUGCCUCUGCUCUGGACACACUGAAAUUCACUUGCUAUCGCUCUUCUCAUCUGACUGCAGACGGUCGGCAUGACAGAUUUCAGGUUCCCCCUUGCACUCGCUGACCCUCCUCCACCCCAUUCUCUCUGCAUCACUGGCCUGGCUGUGCCCAGCAGAUGGCUAUCACCGUUCUCCUCACACCAGUCAAGGCCGGGCCAGGUCCUCCGGUGUCUCCCCGACAGAGAGGGAGAGACAGGGGUGAGGACGGGAUGCUCGGGGCUGAUGUUGAAUUUCACACCCCACGGCCUCAGGAUUAGCGAGACCAGGAGCUGAUGGACAGGCAGGCGGAGGCGACGGUGGAAGGUUGGUGCUGUCUACUGAUGCCUAACCAGCAGCGCAGGAGUACUGUCCACGCUCUCAGCUGGGAUCAGCUCUGGCAGUCAGCACAUUAAUAAACAUGCCAUUUAGCGUUUUUCCAGUGCUAAUAGGCUUCUAUUCACAGAUGCAGUGUUUGGACUGCUUUGUGGCUCACUGCAGGUUUUACACACUGUUGAGUAAAAUCCUCUGAUACCACGAGGGACAGAUUUCUCUGCGCAGACAUGUGAUUUAAAAACAACAGCUUUAUUUUUGCUGCCGUGGAUCUGAAGACGUUUUAUAUUUGUAAAACUUUCCUAGAGCCUAGAAAAGGGAUUUUUAUUUGCGUG